UUGGGAGUGGGGCUGAUCCCUAAUUGGUCCCUAAUGGGCUGCAGCUGUGCAGCACAGGUGAAUGCUAUUGAAGGUGAGGAGCCAUGGAGUGCCCAGGGGUGCUGCCCAACCCCGCAGGGAGCAGAGGGCACACAGGGGCACUGCACCAACAGCAGGGCACUAAAGGGGGCUGAAGGACAAAGAUAAGCAGAUGCCUGCAAUCUCCUGAAAUGACAUGAUCUUACUUAUGGACUGACACUUGAAGCCUUCUGAAGAGGACAUUUUCCAGCACGGAGCAAGGCAGAUGUGGAUGCCUGUGGCCAAGGACCUGCCUGGAGCAGACAAAGUGCUACAUGGUAUUUUCAUGGGAAGAUUGAUGCUGCCGGUUCUGAGAGGCUGCUGACUCACCCAUGGCACCUAAUGGAUGCACUUCCCUGAAUUAAUUCCUGCUUCCAGUUCCAUAAAUAUGGCUAAAGUGGUGUAAUAGGAAUGUUUCUGUGUUUCUGAGUGAAAAUUUAUACUACAUGGAUAAUCCCAGGCUCUGAUCAAAAAGGGGAUGUAUAAAACUGAAUGUUUGGUCUGAUCCAUGGUUCAUUGGAUUCCACCUGAGAAUGAAAACAAAAUGCCCCUCACUGGGCUUUGAGACUCCUCCUGCCUCACCUCAAGGAAGCUUGGCUCCUAAUGCUGUGAUUAAAUAGAGGUGGAGAUAAACUUUGUGACUGCCUUGCUGCUGGAACUACCUACGUGCUCUGAGUGUCUUUGUCACAGCCACACACAGGAUAGAAACUUCUCUUGGCACAAGAAUUUCACUUGGUGGGAAGAAUCUUGGAAUUUUAAUUUUUUUUUAGACACAAGAGGCUGCAUAUGCCAAACCCACACAAUAAUGGUGAGCCUGACAGAAAAUCUGACACUGACAUUUGCAAAAGGAUGCUGAGGCCUCAGAAGCAUGACUUGGAAAUUAGAUGAGGACAUCAGGAGCUGGGGGCAGAGCUGCAGACACUUGGAAAGAAAAGUUCCUAGCAGGAUGUUAAUGUCCUUCCUCCAGAUGUGCAAUAGAUGGAGGAAAAUGUGCUGAAAUUUGAAUUUCUACUUAAACGCAAGU